rnacentral:rRNA from 1 species
GUCAGCCAUGCCGCGUGAGUGAUGAAGGCCUUAGGGUCGUAAAGCUCUUUCGCCAGAGAUGAUAAUGACAGUAUCUGGUAAAGAAACCCCGGCUAACUCCGUGCCAGCAGCCGCGGUAAUACGGAGGGGGUUAGCGUUGUUCGGAAUUACUGGGCGUAAAGCGCGCGUAGGCGGACCAGAAAGUAAGGGGUGAAAUCCCAGGGCUCAACCCUGGAACUGCCUCUUAAACUCCUGGUCUUGAGUUCGAGAGAGGUGAGUGGAAUUCCGAGUGUAGAGGUGAAAUUCGUAGAUAUUCGGAGGAACACCAGUGGCGAAGGCGGCUCACUGGCUCGAUACUGACGCUGAGGUGCGAAAGUGUGGGGAGCAAACAGGAUUAGAUACCCCUGGUAGA